AAGCAGAGGUACUUCAGACAGUCACCAAAGAAACUGAAGAAAAGGUGCAACAAGUAGAAUUACCUGAAAGGAAAGGUAAAUUGAUGUGCAAUUCUUUGUAAGAUGCUCCUUUGUGUCAAUGAGGGCCACACAGAAAGGGGGCAACACAAAUACUGAGAGCCAUGAGCUCUAGAUCUAUUGACGUACAGAAAUAAAUUAUUAUAUUUGAGUCCAUUUACUCUUUGUGAAUCUGCUUUUGAUCACAGAACAAGAUGCUCCUGGAGAAGAAAAAGAAGAAGAAGGUGAUAUCUCAUUUCAUGAAGUACAAUGAGAAGCUGGAAUUGUUUGAACCCUGAUGUAUUUCUUAACAAAAUGAUCUGAAUGUGUUUUCCAGAGCCUAUCAAGGAGGAUCAGCCAAAAGGUAAAAAAAAAAAAAAAACAAGAAAAAGAAAAGCAUACUUUCAAAUGGAGUCACUUUUAUUCAAUCUCUUUGUCAGAUUAUUAUGCUGAGCAUGACCAAGAAAAUGACGGCACAGAGAAUUCUGUCUGAAUAUCCAGCAGUUUCUUCAUUAAAAUUCAAAUUGGUUGAAAUUGUGUUUAUUGCGCUGCUACAAAUAACUAUAUAUUUGCUGGAUAAGCACAUAACUGAACUCGUGCAGAGCAAUAAAUAUGUAUUUUCAGAACCUGACGUUCUUGAUGAGGCACAUGCAGAAGCACCUGUGAAAGAAGGUAAAUGUCUAACGAAGUUCCUGUUCGUUCCAAAUGUUCAAGUGCUCAGAAAAAUAAAGGAAGCUCUUCUUGCAGAGGCAGAGACCCCCAAGGAGGUGCAAACGGGCCCUGUAGGGUCUCAAGAACAUGAGGCUCCUCAAGAAGAAAAGGAGAAAGCUCCUGAGAUUUCUGUAAAAGCACCUACAGAACAACCCAAACAGGAAGGUACUGUCUAGGUGUUUCUCCAGCGGUUCCCGUGUCAGUAAUUCAAUAGAGAAGUUAAUGUAAAUUGAUUUAAGUGAGUGUAGAUUAAACAUUCUCAGCAAAGUGAGGUGAAUGUGUUUUACAGAGCCUGCAGAGGAAGGUCAACCACAAGGUAGAAUACAUUAAAUCCACACUUUCUAUUUAGUCUCUCUGUCCAACUAUUGGUCUAAGUCUCACAUUUUACCACAAGAAUCACUAAAAUUUAAUGUUACGAUCACGGUACCAGGUGUUAAGAAGACAGAAGAACAUGAAAAGCUGGAAGAUGUAGAAGCAGCAGGGAAGAUGGGUUGGUCGAUUAUAUUACAAAUUAAAAUUAAAGCAAGGUUUCAUUUAAAGCUGCAUAUAUUGUACCGUAUAUAAACAUACAAGAAAAAGAUGAAAAUAGAGACUUCUGAGAUGAUUUGGUGUCCCUUGAUUGAGGGGUUCAUUGUUUUGUGGUGGCUUGUAUGUCCACUAAAGUCAAAACUGGAAAACCUGUCAUUUUUAAAAUGGCUAGUGAUAACCACGUUUGUUAAAUUGCCACCCUUUUGAAAACGCGAAAGAGAAUUCUAAUAACCCUCGGCAAUUUCAUCUUUUACAUGGGAGAUCUGUUUUUUUUUUUUUUUUUUUUUCUUUCAGAAGUACAGCCAGGACCCAGAGAAAUAGGUAAAGGUUUCAUUCAUAUGAAUUCAUGGUUCAUGCCAAAAAAAUGUUUUUAAAUAUUCAGAAAAACAACCUUUUGCAGAGCCGGAGAUUCAGAGGGAGGUGCAGAUGAAGCCCCAGCAGACUCAAGGUGAGGUUUACAUUUAUUUAGCACUUUUGUCCAAAGCAACUUCCAGUGAACUGUAUGUAGUGUUAUGAGCCCACACACCUUAUUCACCGCGGUGACUUACACUGCUAGAUACACUACAUACACUGGGUCACUCAUCCAUACAUCACUGGAACACACUCUCUCUGUCACUCACACACUGUGGGUGAACCUGAACAGCAUGU
ensembl:lncRNA